CGAUCGACGACUCGAAGAUUGCCA
rnacentral:miRNA from 1 species